AUCCUGACUGCUCCAAGCUUAAAUUUUCCAGUAAAGAAAGUUAUCCUGCUUGAUAUAAUGCUUUCACUGACCAUCAGCGUUGUUCUUUUGUUCAAAACCCCCUGAAUCCUGCCAGAUGUUAUAAGGUAAUCUUGCAGAAUCAAGUGAAAUCAGCACAGGCACAAUUGCUUCACUGAACUUUGGGGACUGCUGAGCGGAGAACUUUCCCGAAAUUUGCUGCCAAGCCUUAUAUCCUCUUGUGUCCUGCCAUAUUAGGCCAUACCUGUUGCUGCAGAAGACUUGGAAGAGAAGGCAGAAUAUGAAACACAUUAUUGAUGGAUGGGCUCGGGACACUGAAUUCAGAAGACUGAAUUGCCACAUUGGUUUUGCUGAACAGAGGAGCUUAUUUCAUCCAAACUAUCAAAUUUGAAGGGUGAAUACAUGGCUGAUAAUCAAAUAUUCCUAACUGUGCAGGGUUUUUUAAAUUUUCUGGAAAUGCAAAAUAUGUAUGACAAAUGGUUUCAGAUACGCAUUUCAAAUCAGUUUAGAUAAAAAAUGUGGGUAAAAGCAAUUAGGCUUUCUUAUUAAUAUCAUCACCUGUCACAUCCUUAUGCCGCUUUGCCAGCAAAAAGUAUUGCUAACAGAGGUGUACCAAGAGAAGAUUAUAAGCAGGUCUGAAGGCAUAAGAGAAUUUCUUUACAAGAGAUGGUAAAACGAGAUGACUCUGGAAAAUGUGAAAUAUAGAUCUGGUUGAUCUGACAGUAGACUAAUAGAAUACUAUUGAAUAUUUUUGUCCAGUUUGUCUGACAAAAUGGCAUCAUUUUUCUCAACUUUGCUUACAAAAAUUACAAUGUUUUAUUCUCUAUUUUCUUUUCAGGUGGUAGACAGCUUGAGUAAAAUAAAAUCUGUGCAUCUCUGUGCUAAUUAUGCUUUUUUUUUUUUAAGGAAAAAAAGCUUGUAGGGGAAAUAAUACUUAGAUUUGGAUCUUAAUUCUAGCACAGUGUUUAUAUGCACAGAUAGAUGAUGUUUUGCUUGAACAAAACCAAACCACUGAAAAUAAAAUUUUGUUUGUGAAUAAUAUUUGAAGUACAUGUUAGUUAAAUCUAGCUGUAGGACAAAGGGAAAGGAAGAUCAUUGGCAAUGUUGAAGCUUUCACUGACAAGUUAGAAAAGUUGUAUAUGAUAGUAUAUAUAAUAUAAUAAAUGUAUAUUAACAAUUUAUAUAAUAAUAGUUUUCUUUUGAAAAUGUUGACAUCCUUAGUUUCAUUAUGCAAUAUUACAAGUACUCGUUUUGAAAAAUCUUUCUGUUUCACUGAAAAACAGCCCACUCUACUUAGGAGAAGGAUGGGUAAAAGGGUUAAGAAACAAAAUGAAACCUGAAGGCUGACAUUAAUUUUUUCAGGCUUUCCUUAUCUCGAAAACCUGAACCGCUGAUUUGAUUAGACAAAACUGCUGUUUGCCUGCCUUUAUGUAACUGAAUGUAACAAAUACACAGGACUGUAUAUUAUAUGGUGUUUUCCAUAAUGUAAUAUAUUUUCAGGAGUCCAAAGAGUUUCUGAAGGUAAUGAAAAUAUUUUGGAGGUAUUCACUAUGGGUUUGCUGCAUGGAUUAUUGUGCCUGAAAUGUGGUUAUAGUAUGCAUAGCGCAUUGGUGCAGUGGAAUUAGUGUCUUCUUUUCACAUUGGAUAUUUACCUAAGUUAGUAAGACUAAUGCCUAACUUUUGUAACAGAUUUGAGAAGACAUGUUAGCCCUUUUCUGUCAGGAACUACACACCUACACACACACACACACACACACACACACACAAAACCAUUAUUCAUUAUAGUGUGGAAUAUUGUAUUAACAGAUUGCGUACCUUUUUACAGUAGGAGUUUUUAUUUGUUUGGGAAUCACAGACAGCACCUUUCAUAGAAAUUUCAGUCUUUAUUUCGGCCUUGGAUCCUGUUACGUUCUCCAUAUUCCAUACUUUUCUGAUCUGUGGUAUCUGUAGCAAUGCAUCAGCUCCAAACCUUAUCUCAAGAUUAUGAAUGUAUGGUAAUUAUGAAUGGUAUAAAAAGCUGACCUAGACAGUUGUUAACCUCUAUCAGAAUACAAGUGAAGAGAACUGAUGUUUGAUGAAAUGUUUAUUUUGUUCUGUGAAUUUCCUGCAUACAAUGCUUGAGGUUACAUUGACCAUAAAACUGGAGAUAAAAUCACAUUUUCCUACCAGUCAUUUUGAUAUUAUAGAAGUGUAUUACUUUUUAAUAUUAAAAAAUAGAAUAAAUAGAAAAAAUUGAACUGCAGACACUAUUUGGUCAAUGUUAACAACCAAUAAAUUGUUUAUUGUAAGGAUACACUAAUUUUAUUGCCAGUAACAAUAUUAAUGGUUAUUCACGCUAAGAUAAGGGCAAAAAAAAAAAAAAAAAAAAAAAAAGUCUAAUGAUCCCUGAUGUAUGAUUACCAAAAGGUUCAUGAAGGAAUUUCCCUGUUGCUUACUUGCAUUUCAGAUUACAUUAAUGGUUAGACACAGUAAAGUAUUUUGGAGACUUGUUUCUGUAAAGCUGAGUCUGAUUUAUUGCCAGAGGCAAGGUGCCAGACUGGAUGCAUCAAGGAAUCUAUCUGCUAAGAAACACUUUGGUUUCUUUUGAGAGACUGUCCAUAUGCACAUUCGUACCAUAAGCGUUUGUCUGCUUCUCUGAGUUGAAGAAUUCUGACUUUUUUUGCAGUAUCCAGGGGAUCACUAUCAUGUCCUGUCCCCAUGUGAUAAAAUUGACUAAGAUUUGACCAGCUCACUUCAGGAGUAAUUUGUGACAAGGCCUUUAGCAGACACCUUAGCAAUUUAGCCUUCUCUUUCAAUUUGAUUGCUUCUGUGUGUGUGUGCAUGCAUGCGUGUGUGUGUGUGAGAGAGAGAGAGAAGCCUUUGCCCUGCUUUCCAUUUUGAAUGCAAUUUGGUUCUUACUCAUGGAAUUUACCUUACCUCCUUCUUCUUGUGACCUGCAGGCAGAAACUUUCUUUGCUUUUUAUUCUUAUCAGCUUGUUCACAGUUCAUAGGAGAUGUUACUUCACUGAAGUCAAUUACAUGUCUUUGUCCAACAGAUGCCUAGUUGGGCUUCAAGGGUAGGCCAGGGUGAUGUGGUUCUCACCACCUCAGAAGUGCUUAUAAAACAGUCAAGGAAUUCUAGACCUAGAUUCUGAUUGUCUAGAGAUUCUGCACUGCAGUUGUCUAAAUUGUGCUUUAAACCACCUGAAGUAUUUAUUUGCCUACCUUGAUUCUUAGAAAAAAAAGUCAUACCUUUAGUGUGUGAAGUGUUUGCAAGAACAGUGGACAUUUGGUCAUUGUGACACCUUUGGUAAGCACUGUCCACAGUAUUUCUUUUAUGGGCUCUUAGGAAGGUUAAGGAGGGAUUUGGACAGGAUCGCUGUAAUUUCUCUAUCUGAACUAGAUUUCCCAUUCUAUCUGCAUACUUCAUUCUUUAUCUAAAAUGUAGAGAUCCUACACCCUGCUAUAUGUUGACUAAUAUAUUCCAUAAUGCACACUUGAUGUUACUGGGAUCCUCCUUUAAAAAAAUCCAUGCAUGUGUGCAUGUGCACGUGGGAAGCAUAUGUACCUGUAUAUCAUUUAUUCAGGUUGUCCCUACUUAUUUCUGUGGUCUCAGACUUUUGUCUUUAUAUAGAAAAAAUGAAGUGUGAUUAUCCAAAGAUUGUGAGGAGCUGAUUAAAAAUACCGAAUGACACCCCAUUUGACACUCAGUAUCUCAUAUAUCCUACUUAGAAAGGAGAAGCUGGAAGUGGUGCUUCUGCCACUGUUUGUCCCACUUUUACAAGCUAUUUGCUUGUUAAGGCAAGGGAUGAAGGUGGCAAGGUUGUGCCUUAAUAUCCCAUGAAUCCUAAUUGUACGUAUAUCUGUCACAAUACAACUGCCAUAUUUCUGUAAUAUUUGCAUAUGCUACGUGUGUAUUCAUGUCCAGGGGAUCUGACAUAUCCAGAAAAUAUGAGUUCCAGCACGUAUUCUAUGUACUGUUUAUUUAGGCAUGACACAAUCUUAUUUUUCUUCCCAGUUUUUUUUUUUGUGUGUGUGUAAAACACGGUGCCAAGGAAAGCCUUCACAGAUGGUCACCUUAGCUCUCAGAGACAUUGUAUUCCUGUGAAACUUACUGGAAUACCAAGACUGGCUGUGCAUAUUUUUCACUCCUAACAGAAGACAAAUGUUACUUUUAGCCACUGCUGUUAAUAGUCUAGUAAUGUUUUAUCCAUCUAUCACCUUGAUUUCUUUCUAGUUUUUGUUUGCUUUUUGUGUUUGUGUGGCUUCUUUAUUGUUUUUUUUUUUUUUUUUUUUUUUUUAGUAGAACUCUUAACCAACAUAUUUUGAAUAAUGCAAAAGCCAAGUAAAGAAAUAUCUAUAGGUAUUUUGCUACAAACCC
ensembl:lncRNA